GAAACAUCUGCUUCGGCGAAGACCAAUGAGGUUGUAGAGAGAAUGGUGUUGUUGCUUGUUGCACAGAAAGGGAUAUUUUAAGACUCUAGGAGUGUUUCGUACACUGAAGGGAUUAUUAAAACGAAGAUACGGUGACUGGGUGUGAAGCGCAAACUUAAGGCAGAGCUUGGAGCGGGAUAAUUGGCACAGACGGUAAAUGUCGCAGCAACGGACGGUCACACAUUGGACAGACACAUCCAGAAGAACGCAUUACCUUCAAAGGCUGCCUACAUAUAAAAGGACUGCUGAUUUGCUGAAGUGCUUUAUGAACUGUUGGAGAUCGCCAUCAUAAGGCCCCUGAAGGCAAUGUGUGAGGCUCAGAGAACAUCCCAAGCAAUCAGGACCCCAGUCAGACAACUCAUUUGUGGCUCUGGGCUGUCAUCAUCAGUCGAUUCCCUUGAAUAGAGAUCAAACCAUUCAACAACGUCGAAAGUUGCCUACUUCAAGAGGAAAUAUGCGGAAGAGGAGGAUUUACAUGGCGACCUACAUGGAUAUUUUCAAAAACACCUGAUACGUCAGGAGGACCGCAGCUGCAUCCUCAAGCUCUCCUUGGAGAAGCUGAGAUUCCUGGAGGACCCUGAAGCCUACCUGCGACGCUCUGUGCUCAUCAACAACCUGCUGAGGAAGAUCCACCAUGAGGAGAAGGAGGUGGAGGAGGAAGAGGAGAGGCAGGGGACCUGUGACAGGGGCUCAGGCGGGCAGCGGCUGCUCUACCCAGACAGGAAACGUGUGAAGGUGGUGGUGGCAGACUGCUGCUCUCAGUCCUUUGGGUUGGAGGAGAUACCCCACUACCACCUGGUUCCCUACCCCUCCCCCACAUGCCUCUAUGGCCUGGGCACAUGUCCCAGCAUCUCCCCUGGCCACGGGGCUCAAGUCCUGCUCUACAAACUGGAUGAUAACGGGUGACUGUGACUUGCUGCCAAAGUACGGGAAGAAAUUUGAUAUGGACCAUGCACAUCGAAGUAAUUGGCAGGGAGUGGUUCGGUGACAGAACGCCCUAUUCACUCAGAGCUGCAUUCUGUAUCCUGCAGUCUGACGUUAUCUACAUCCAAAAGGGAGGCUACGGCUUCUCCUGUGUGAUUUUUGACUAGGUCAACAGAGCAAGAGUCCAAAUCAGGGUCUGUCUUCUAAGGGCAUCUUUGUUACAGCGUCACUGCCUUUACAAGCUGAUGUGAGAGACGGAGAUUCCUUGCAGGAAUUUGUUUUAAUGGUCUUUGAACAUGUGAACCUUAAGGGAUACAUAUAGUACAAGUCAUGCACCCUGCCACUACACUACUCUCUAAGAAGAAAAAUUGCUAUCUAGAACCAUAAAUGGUUCUUCAGCUGUCCCCAUAGGAGAACCCUUUGAAAUAUUUUUUGGGGAUUCCAAGUAGAACACUUUUGGGUUCCAGGUAGAACCCUCGGGUUCUACCUGGAACCAGAAAGGGUUAUCCUAUGGGGACAGCCGAAGAACCCUUUUGGAACCCUUUUUUCUAAGAGUGUAGAGAAACAGACAAGGUUUGUGUUUGGAGGUUUGGAUGUCUGCUAGUAUGCUUGUGUGACCACAAUCAAACUACUCUGUUGUGUAUUUGAAAAAUAUUACAUUUCACUAAACAUAUCCCUAAUGUUAAAUGAUAGACUACUUAUCAGAAGCUUGCAAAACAUGAUUGAAAUGCAUAUGGGGAAAACUAAUUCAAAUGAAACUCAUGAUGGCAUAUUUGUUGAAAAAUUAAGCAUUAUGCAUUUGAUAUAGAGGUUUUGGUGUAAGUCAACUCUCUGGGCGAAUCAAUUGUUACACAUUUCUGUCAUAGUGAUGCAUGUAAUUUCCCCCCCCCCCCCCCUCCUGUUUCUGUGUUCUUUCCUACAACAUUUUGCUGCCCUCCAGUGGUCAAGUUGAGUGUGUGAAUUUUGGGGCUGGCUAUUCAGUACUGUGCAUCAUUCUGACAUCAAUAUUUAUAUUUUCUUGUCUGUUUAAAUUAGCUCUCUGUAGCUCAACCAUCCCGUUUUGAGGUGGAAUCUAUUCAGGCCAAGAAAAAUAAAGCAGAACAGUAGGCCGUUUCACAGCCUCGUCUUGAAUGUGCCAGUUUUAAUGUAUUAAAUAAUUUUAAUUCUCAAAGAGACAUAACCUUGUUUAGUGCUUGUUACUCAUGCUCCAAGAAUACACUAACUUGAUUCAGCAAGAGCACAUUGGCACAUUGCUUUCUUUGAUGUCAAACAAUUCCCUGUAUUUUCUAGCUAAUUUUGAUAUUUUUCUGCAGAUUUCUCAGUUUUAUGUGUCAGGCAAACAAUGUUAAGGUAAAUAACAAAUAUUUAUGAAUAGAUUGACUGUUCAUUAUCUUGUUUUUAUUUUAUUUUAAAAUUUGUGCAACAAUGUGAAUAUCGUUUGCUAUUGUCCAUUUUUUUUUCUGUAAUUGAGUAUCGGUAGUUGAGUGUGUUCAGUGUAAGGAUUGUUUUUCCAUUAUUGUUAAACAUCUUACAAACUACAGACUAAAAUAGAAUUUUAAAUGCUACUUUUCAACACAAUAUUUUACUGUAUGAAAUGUAUAUUUGGAAGACAAUUUACAUAGGCCUAUUCCUUAUUAAAGAUAAGCUAUUUUGCCAAAAGACUUAAGUAGCACCAUGAAUCUUUCUUUUUUCAGGUGAUUGCUAAUGCUAUAAAAUAAAGUGUGUAAGAUGACACUGCCA